rnacentral:rRNA from 1 species
CGCGCUAUCAGAUGAGCCCAUGUCGGAUUAGCUAGUUGGUAGGGUAACGGCCUACCAAGGCGACGAUCCGUAGCUGGUCUGAGAGGACGGCCAGCCACACUGGGACUGAGACACGGCCCAGACUCCUACGGGAGGCAGCAGUGGGGAAUAUUGGACAAUGGGGGAAACCCUGAUCCAGCGACGCCGCGUGUGUGAAGAAGGCCUGCGGGUUGUAAAGCACUUUCGGUGGGAACGAAAUAUGCCGGGCCAAUACCCCGGUAGGCUGACGUUACCCAAUGAAGAAGCACCGGCUAACUCUGUGCCAGCAGCCGCGGUAAUACAGAGGGUGCGAGCGUUAAUCGGAAUUACUGGGCGUAAAGCGCACGUAGGCGGCUUCGUAAGUCGGAUGUGAAAUCCCCGGGCUCAACCUGGGAACUGCAUUCGAGACUGCGAUGCUUGAGUAUGGGAGAGGACAGCGGAAUUCCGGGUGUAGCGGUGAAAUGCGUAGAUAUCCGGAGGAACAUCAGUGGCGAAGGCGGCUGUCUGGCCCAAUGCUGACGCUCAGGUGCGAAAGCGUGGGGAGCAAACAGGAUUAGAU